UAUCAAGGGGUGCUGGUUCGUUUGUACUGGCUGAGAUCAUACCCUUCUUACCUGAUGCGGAUAAUGCCGACGUAGGGAUGGAUAGU
rnacentral:ncRNA from 1 species